rnacentral:rRNA from 1 species
UACGGAGGAUCCGAGCGUUAUCCGGAUUUAUUGGGUUUAAAGGGAGCGUAGGCGGGUUGUUAAGUCAGUUGUGAAAGUUUGCGGCUCAACCGUAAAAUUGCAGUUGAUACUGGCAUCCUUGAGUACAGUAGAGGUAGGCGGAAUUCGUGGUGUAGCGGUGAAAUGCUUAGAUAUCACGAAGAACUCCGAUUGCGAAGGCAGCCUGCUGGUCUGUAACUGACGCUGAUGCUCGAAAGUGUGGGUAUCAAACAGG